rnacentral:rRNA from 1 species
UGGUAAUGCCGGAUGCUCCGACUCCUCGCAUGGGGUGUCGGGAAAGAUUUCAUCGGUAUGGGAUGGGGUCGCGUCCUAUCAGGUAGUCGGCGGGGUAACGGCCCACCGAGCCUACGACGGGUAGCCGGCCUGAGAGGGCGACCGGCCACAUUGGGACUGAGAUACGGCCCAGACUCCUACGGGAGGCAGCAGUGGGGAAUAUUGCACAAUGGGCGCAAGCCUGAUGCAGCGACGCCGCGUGCGGGAUGACGGCCUUCGGGUUGUAAACCGCUUUUGAUCGGGAGCAAGCCUUCGGGUGAGUGUACCUUUCGAAUAAGCACCGGCUAACUACGUGCCAGCAGCCGCGGUAAUACGUAGGGUGCAAGCGUUAUCCGGAAUUAUUGGGCGUAAAGGGCUCGUAGGCGGUUCGUCGCGUCCGGUGUGAAAGUCCAUCGCUUAACGGUGGAUCUGCGCCGGGUACGGGCGGGCUGGAGUGCGGUAGGGGAGACUGGAAUUCCCGGUGUAACGGUGGAAUGUGUAGAUAUCGGGAAAAAACACCA